GCAAAACGCGAAGAACCUUACCAGGGCUUAAAUGUAGUUUGACCGCUUAGGAAACUAGGCUUUCGCAAGACAAAUUACAAGGUGCUGCAUGGUUGUCGUCAGCUCGUGCCGUGAGGUGUCAGGUUAAGUCCUAUAACGAGCGCAACCCCUGUUGUUAGUUGCCAGCGAGUCAUGUCGGGAACUCUAGCAAGACUGCCAGUGUAAACUGUGAGGAAGUGGGGAUGACGUCAAAUCAGUCACGGCCCUUACGUCCUGGGCCACACACGUGCUACAAUGGACGGUACAGAGGAGCACGCUACCGUAGUGAUACGGAUCGCGAAUCUAUAAAACCGUUCUCAGUUCGGAUCGGAGUCUGCAACUCGACUACGUGAAGCUGGAAUCGCUAGUAAUCGGAGU
rnacentral:rRNA from 1 species